GCAUGGGGGCACCUGAUCCACAUGCGCGUGAUGAAGAAGGCCCUCGGGUUGUCAGCUCUUUUGUCACGGAAGAAAAGGUUCUGGCUAAUAUCCAGAGCUGCUGCCUCGCCGCUUAGGAGUAUAAGCACCGGCUAACUACGUGCCAGCAGCCGCGGUAAUACGUAGGGUGCAAGCGUUAAUCGGAAUUACUGGGCGUAAAGCGUGCGCAGGCGGUUUUAUAAGUCUGAUGUGAAAUCCCCGGGCUCAACCUGGGAACUGCAUUGGAGACUGUAAGGCUAGAGUGUGUCAGAGGGGGGUAGAAUUCCACGUGUAGCAGUGAAAUGCGUAGAUAUGUGGAGGAAUACAGGAUGGCGAAGGCAGCCCCCUGGGAUAACACUGACGCUCAUGCACGAAAGCGUGGGGAGCAAACAGGAUUAGAUACCCUGGUAGUCCACGCCCUAAACGAUGUCAACUAGUUGUCGGGUCUUAAUUGACUUGGUAACGCAGCUAACGCGUGAAGUUGACCGCCUGGGGAGUACGGUCGCAAGAUUAAAACUCAAAGGAAUUGACGGGGACCCGCACAAGCGGUGGAUGAUGUGGAUUAAUUCGAUGCAACGCGAAAAAACUUAACUAC
rnacentral:rRNA from 1 species